rnacentral:rRNA from 1 species
UCCGUAGGCGGGCAAUUAAGUUAGAGGUGAAGUCCCACAGCUCAACUGUGGAACUGCCUUUGAUACUGGUUGUCUUGAGUUACAGUGAAGUAGAUAGAAUAUGUAGUGUAGCGGUGAAAUGCAUAGAUAUUACAUAGAAUACCGAUUGCGAAGGCAGUCUACUAACUGUAUACUGACGCUAAUGGACGAAAGCGUGGGGAGCGAACAGGAUUAGAUACCCUGGUAGUCC